rnacentral:rRNA from 1 species
GGGUUAAUAAGCUGGUCGUGCCAAUGGUAUGUACUGGUUUUAUUGAUUCCUACCUCUUGACGAACUGUGAUGCCAUUAAUUUGGUGUCGCAAGGAAUCAGGACUGUUACCUUGAAAAAUUAGAGUGUUUAAAGCAGGCUUACGCUUGAAUACAUUAGCAUGGAAUAAUGAAAUAGGACGUUUGAUCCUAUUUUGUUGGUUUCUAGGAUUGACGUAAUGAUUA